GCGGCCUAUCAGCUUGUUGGUGAGGUAAUGGCUCACCAAGGCUACGACGGGUAUCCGGCCUGAGAGGGCGACCGGACACACUGGGACUGAGACACGGCCCAGACUCCUACGGGAGGCAGCAGUGGGGAAUAUUGGGCAAUGGACGCAAGUCUGACCCAGCGACGCCGCGUGCGGGAUGAAGGCCUUCGGGUUGUAAACCGCUUUCAGCAGGGAAGAAGCGAAAGUGACGGUACCUGCAAAAGAAGCACCGGCUAACUAUGUGCCAGCAGCCGCGGUAAUACAUAGGGUGCAAGCGUUGUCCGGAAUUAUUGGGCGUAAAGAGCUCGUAGGUGGUUCGUUACGUCGGAUGUGAAAAUCUGGGGCUCAACCCCAGACCUGCAUUCGAUACGGGCGAGCUAGAGUUUGGUAGGGGAGACUGGAAUUCCU
rnacentral:rRNA from 1 species